rnacentral:lncRNA from 1 species
AAAUAUAAAAUCGAUUCUAUAAAUAAAUAUAAAAUUGAUAUGGUGGUGGUUGGAUUUAUCUUCUAUGAAUAAGCCUAAGUAUUAAAAUUCAAGAACACAAAUUCACUUGUAAUCUAAUAUUACUCCUGAUGCCUCUCAAGACUUGCAAAUUGAUAUGGUGGUUGUUGGAUUUAUAUAGUCAUGGAUAAUUGUAAAUCAAGAAUAAAAUAAAAUUCAAGAAAAAUAUAAGAGGAAUAAAUACAUAGAAAAAGAUGUAAAGAGUAAAGUUGAGAGAGCGAAAAAAAA